rnacentral:rRNA from 1 species
GGGGAAUUUUCCGCAAUGGGCGAAAGCCUGACGGAGCAGUACCGCGUGAGGGAAGAAGGCUCUUGGGUUGUAAACCUCUUUUCUUAGGGAAGAAAAAAAUGACGGUACCUAAGGAAUAAGCAUCGGCUAACUCCGUGCCAGCAGCCGCGGUAAUACGGAGGAUGCAAGCGUUAUCCGGAAUGAUUGGGCGUAAAGCGUCCGCAGGUGGCAAGUCAAGUUUGCGGUUAAAGGUUCUGGCUCAACCAGAGACAGGCCGUGAAAACUGACUAGCUAGAGUAUGGUAGGGGCAGAGGGAAUUCCCAGUGUAGCGGUGAAAUGCGUAGAGAUUGGGAAGAACACCGGUGGCGAAAGCGCUCUGCUAGGCCAAAACUGACACUGAGGGACGAAAGCUAGGGGAGCGAAUGGGAUUAGAUACCCCAGUAGUCCUAGCCGUAAACGAUGGAUACUAGGUGUAGCUUGUAUCGACCCAAGCUGUGCCGUAGCUAACGCGUUAAGUAUCC